GUCAAUCCGCUCAUUGGGUGAUUCAGCAGAACAAGUGAGUCAUAUUUCGAAUAGUGAAUUCAAGCACCGAAGAUGUCUAUCGUUUCUCAAGAUUUUUACAUCGGGUGUUCUUCGUGUGACUCUUUCUUCAACAAGAAUAGGAUCUGUAAUCUCGAUUAUUUGUUCAGGCAGUGCUGCCUUAACAAAGUUGUGGAGACUUAAACCAUCUCUGAAUCUUUC
rnacentral:lncRNA from 1 species